rnacentral:rRNA from 1 species
AUUGAACGCUGGCGGCAGGCUUAACACAUGCAAGUCGAGCGAGCGGCGGACGGGUGAGUAAUGUCUGGGAAACUGCCUGAUGGAGGGGGAUAACUACUGGAAACGGUAGCUAAUACCGCAUACCAUCGGAUGUGCCCAUAUGGGAUUAGCUAGUAGGUGGGGUAAAGGCUCACCUAGGCGAUGAUCCCUAGCUGGUCUGAGAGGAUGACCAGCCACACUGGAACUGAGACACGGUCCAGACUCCUACGGGAGGCAGCAGUGGGGAAUAUUGCACAAUGGGCGCAAGCCUGAUACAGCCAUGCCGCGUGUAUGAAGAAGGCCUUAGGGUUGUAAAGUACUUUCAGCGGGGAGGCGUUACCCGCAGAAGAAGCACCGGCUAACUCCGUGCCAGCAGCCGCGGUAAUAC